GUUGGUUAUUGAUAUUACAAUUAGAUCUAUGAAAGGGGAUGGAGACAUAACCCAUGGGCUCUAGCACUUCCCCCUCAGCUUUUGACAGCUGACCCCAUUUCAGAAUGAUGUGAGAGGGUGCUUGCCAAAAGCUAUUCAUCACAGUGUCUACACAGGAAGAUUGAAUUGAUCUGAUUGUUUUCUCCAAAUCAAAACUUCCAUUAAGUAGUACGAAAAAGUUCUGGAACUUUUGGUUUUGAAGAUAGCCUUUAUACACGUUAUCUGUACAGAGGACAAAGAUUUUUCUCAGGACUGGUCCCAGACUGUGGAACAAACUAAGAACUACCAUAAACCUCACCACCUUCCUCUCCAAAUGCAAGGUUUUGGGGGACUCACAAUUCCCAACAUGGGCAUCUUUACAAAGAUAAGACUGGGUCAGGGAUGUUUCCCACCCUCUGAGCCUUGCCUAAACUAC